GACAAAUUUUUGUAGGUCUUCUAAAUCUAUUUUGGGGGUAGCCCUGUUUGUUU
rnacentral:tRNA from 1 species